ACUGUGCUCUGCACAGCUAAGCCACACUGAGAGGCUACGAUGAACACACCUGACAACUGUCUGGACGUGUACCUGAACCAGAGCCACAUGGACCGAGGGACAGGAACAGGCAGUGCAGCUAAGUGUCUUUAGGUUAUGACCAAAUGUGAAGUUGGAAACACAUGUCAAUGAAGCAGUGCCAUGCUGACAAAAUACAUCAGCAGUCAGUGGUUGAGCUGGAUUCAGACAUAUUAACGACUCCAUCAACACUUAGCUGUGCUCUGCACAGCUAAGCCACACUGAGAGUCUAUGACAACUACACCUGACAACUGUCUGGACCUGUACCUGAACCAGAGCCACAUGGACCCAGGGACAGGAAAAGGCAGUGCAGCUACAUGCUUUUUACUCAACAUUCAUUCCUAAUCUUCAGAUGGACCCAGACCGUCUUUAAGUAUCGUAUAUAGGCUAGGUUGUGAAUAGAGUUGAAACUUGUUGACUAUUAAAUUUGUACUUGUUUUCUAAAACUGUUUGUAAUGAAGUGCUUUGAGUUUUUCUGUUUGCCCCAAUGCCCCAUUGUAACAUUUAUAAUGCAAUUUUUCUCCACUACAGCUAAUGCUGCGCUGAGAGAGUCUGAGAGUCCUGAACGGCCAGCCGUCCUGGUAGGGGAUCCUGCAAAGACUCGGCCUACCUGAAGGUUUCUUCCUUUUUUCCCGAAUAAGGGUUUUUUAGGGAGUUUUUCCUGACAUGCUUUGCAGGUCGAAGGCUGAAGACUCAAAGAACAGCGAGAUAUCUUUUACACCUGAAUCCAGCUAUUUUUCCCUUUUUCAUUUUGUUAUUUCUUUUCCCAUGACAACGGGCUAUAACCAUGAAGCUUAAAUUUGCAAUGAUUAUUUAUAUACAUUUUCGAUGGACUCCACACAAUGCACCUGUUGUGCAAAAUGUUUUAUUUUCAUGCUUAUA